rnacentral:lncRNA from 1 species
CCUAGUGUGUGCCCUUACCCGAUGCGUCCUGUUCUUCUGCCAGCUGAUGAUGGACCGUUUUGAAGCUGGAUUGGCAGAGGUGGCGAGCACUGCGUGUUGUGAUGAAAGGUAACGGUCAUGCCCAGCCUCCGUGAGCACAGCUGGGCGCCAGCCUCUCUCCUGCCAUGUUACGUUCAUCACCCGGCUUCACGGUGAACAUCCAGGGGAGUAGCAGGCAGCAAACGCAAGCUGGUCCCACUACGUGCAAUGUGGAGAAACUGUCAUCGAUGUCAUCGUGGCCCGUGCCUUCCCUCACGUUAUCCACUUGCCACCCUCCAGGUCGGCUCCACCGAAGGGGAACCGAGCAGUUUUGUGCACACUUCAUGGGAGGGCUGCUUUGCCUUCGGUGGGUCAGAGUGUCAGUACGAGGUGAGUAGUGGCCAGGAGACAAUCCAACCCGCACCAGGGCUGGCCGCCCGCUCCCUCUUGCCGCUCACGGACCGUUAUCUUGACUCUUGA